GACGGGGGAUGCAAGCGUUAUCCGGAAUCACUGGGCGUAAAGCGUCUGUAGGUGGUGAUGCAAGUCACUGGUGCAAAACUCUGGCUCAACCGGAGGAAAGCCAGUGAAACUGCAUGACUAGAGUGUGGGAGAGGUAGAAGGAAUUCCACGAGUAGCGGUGAAAUGCGUAGAUACAGGGAAGAACACCGGAGGCGAAAGCGUUCUACUGGAACACAACUGACACUGAGACCCGAAAGCUAGGGGAGCGAAUGGG
rnacentral:rRNA from 1 species